UCAACAGCAAGGGCAAAAUUUAUGUGAUAGCUAGCCCCAGUUGCAGUCUGAUCUUUUCUUCUCUGUACCCUUUCUAUCUAAACUCUUACAAGUUUGAACGGAGCUUGAACUAUUGACACUGAAGGUCAGUAAGAAUCUCCAGAAUCCUUCGUUCCCUACAGAAGUGUAACACCCAGAUAGAGAAGCUGACAAUAAAGGAUGUUGCUGCUUUGAAGUCAGGGAAUACCAGUAUGAAUGUCCUUUCCUCUGACAUCUAACAGAAACACACUUUCUGCUGCCCAAGCAUCCUCCUUCUUUGCAGCUGCACACAUCAAAGUACAAUAGAAACCUAUCAUUAGAUGCUGCCUUUUCCAGAAAGCUUUUCUACAUUGUGGUUUGCAAAGUGGACACAUGUAAUCCCCUAAAUGCAUCCUCUGCUGACUCUUUUUAACUAAAGUUUUAUAAUUAGUAAGAAAAUUCAAUUCCAUAAUUAAAAAUCCUUGCAUACCAAGAUGCUCAGCACUUCAAAUUUUGAAGAGAAAACCACCCAAUGUUUGGGUGGAGUAGGAAGGUAUUGCUGGAAAGCUAUACUCAUAAUAUACUCUUUUUACAGCAAAACUAUUCAUUUACUGAAACUCUGAGCUUCUGAGAAAUUAAAACAGAAUGGUAAGCAAGAAAGUCUGCAAAAAUUCCAGCAACAAAGCCUCUUUUUCUUUUCUACUACCAUUACCUUUACCACACUUCAGACAGCUCCGUCAGCAACUUCUGGUUUCAAGAUGACAUGGAGCAGGCUCGGGCAGCCCGCAGGGUAUCCUAGCUGCUUUCUGCACAGCAUCGGCGAUGAAGGUCAUAAAGGAGCAGCGUGUUUUUUGAAGUGAUCUACAGGCAAGCGUGUGCGUGCAUGCACACGCAUGCGUGCCUGGAGGUGUGUGAUUUAGAUGAGUCUCAUGAUCAACAGCCUUUUCUAUUACUUCAAGAUAUGUGAAAGACAUUUCAAGUUCUUUCUAUAAUUCCAAAUGCCCUUGAAAUAAAAAUCAAAAUAAUAAAUUUCAAAA